CCUACGGGAGGCAGCAGGCGCGAAACGUCCCCAAUGCGCGAAAGCGUGAGGGCGCUACCCCGAGUGCCUCCGAAAGGAGGCUUUUCCCCGCUCUAAUAAGGCGGGGGAAUAAGCGGGGGGCAAGUCUGGUGUCAGCCGCCGCGGUAAUACCAGCUCCGCGAGUGGUCGGGGCGCUUACUGGGCCUAAAGCGCCUGUAGCCGGCCCACCAAGUUACCCCUUAAAGACCCGAGCUCAACUCGGGGACUGGGGGUAAUACUGGUGGGCUAGGGGGCGGGAGAGGCGGGAGGUACUCCCGGAGUAGGGGCGAAAUCCGUAGAUACCGGGAGGACCACCAGUGGCGGAGGCGUCCCGCUAGAACGCGCCCGACGGUGAGAGGCGAAAGCCGGGGCAGCAAACGGGAUUAGAUACCCCGGUAGUCCCGGCUGUAAACGAUGCGGGCUAGGUGUCAGACGGGCUUAGAGCCCGUCUGGUGCCGCAGGAAGCCGUUAAGCCCGCCGCCUGGGGAGUACGGUCGCAAGACUGAGACUUAAAGGAAUUGGCGGGGGAGCACCACAAGGGGUGGAACCUGCGGCUCAAUUGGAGUCAACGCCUGGGAUCUUACCGGGGGAGACCGCAGGAUGACGGUCAGGCUAACGACCUUGCCCGACUCGCGGAGGGGAGGUGCAUGGCCGUCGCCAGCUCGUGUUGUGAAAUGUCCGGUUAAGUCCGGCAACGAGCGAGACCCCCACCCCUAGUUGGUAUCACGGGCUCCGGCCCGUGACCACACUAGGGGGACUGCCGGCGUAAGCCGGAGGAAGGAGGGGGCCACGGCAGGUCAGCAUGCCCCGAAACCCCCGGGUCGCACGCGGGUGACAAUGGCAGGGACAGCGGGAUGCUACCCCGAAAGGGGGAGCCAAUCCCCCAAACCCUGCCGCAGUUGGGGUCGAGGGCUGGAACCCGCCCUCGUGAACGAGGAAUCCCUAGUAACCGCGGGUCAACAACCCGCGGUGAAUACGUCCCUGCUCCUUGCACACACCGCCCGUCA
rnacentral:rRNA from 1 species